rnacentral:rRNA from 1 species
GCCCAGCAGAGAGACCCGCGAAC